rnacentral:misc_RNA from 1 species
GAUGAAGAACGUAGCGAAAUGCGAUAAGUAAUGUGAAUUGCAGAAUUCAGUGAAUCAUCGAAUCUUUGAACGCACAUUGCGCCCGCUGGUAUUCCGGCGGGCAUGCUUGUUCGAGCGUCAUUUCAACCCUCAAGCCCCCGGGUUUGGUGUUGGGGAUCGGCUCUGCCCUUCUGGGCGGUGCCGCCCCCGAAAUACAUUGGCGGUCUCGCUGCAGCCUCCAUUGCGUAGUAGCUAACACCUCGCAACUGGAACGCGGCGCGGCCAUGCCGUAAAACCCCAACUUCUGAAUGUUGACCUCGGAUCAGGUAGGAAUACCCGCUGAACUUAAGCAUAUCAAUAAGCGGAGGA